rnacentral:rRNA from 1 species
AUUGAACGCUGGCGGCAUGCCUUACACAUGCAAGUCGAACGGUAACAGGUCUUCGGAUGCUGACGAGUGGCGAACGGGUGAGUAAUACAUCGGAACGUGCCCGAUCGUGGGGGAUAACUGCUCGAAAGAGCAGCUAAUACCGCAUACGAUCUACGGAUGAAAGCGGGGGAUCGCAAGACCUCGCGCGGACGGAGCGGCCGAUGGCAGAUUAGGUAGUUGGUGGGAUAAAAGCUUACCAAGCCGACGAUCUGUAGCUGGUCUGAGAGGACGACCAGCCACACUGGGACUGAGACACGGCCCAGACUCCUACGGGAGGCAGCAGUGGGGAAUUUUGGACAAUGGGCGAAAGCCUGAUCCAGCCAUGCCGCGUGCAGGAUGAAGGCCUUCGGUUGUAAACUGCUUUGUACGGACGAAAGAACUCCUUCUAAUAAAGGGGUACCAUGACGGUACCGUAAGAAUAAGACACCGGCUAACUACGUGCCAGCAGCCGAC